rnacentral:sRNA from 1 species
GGCAGAUUGCGAAGAAUUCCCCUUGAAAUGGCGCCCGCUUCCCCGCAUAUCUUUCUUGCGAAGUUAUCUAUCGACCGCUGCUCCUCUACGGCUCAGUCCUUCGAUCUGCACUGACUAAGCCGACCUGCCGCAAUUCCGCGGGCAGUAACACUAGGAGUAGACACAUGGCCACUGGCACUGUGAAAUGGUUCAACACCACCAAAGGCUUUGGUUUCAUCGCACCCGACGGCGGCAGCAAAGACGUGUUCGUGCACAUCUCGGCCGUUGAGCGCUCGGGCCUGACCGGCCUCGCCGACAACCAGAAAGUCACUUUUGACAUCAAGCCGGGCCGUGACGGCCGCGAAGCCGCCGAGAACAUCGCGCUGGCCUAAGGCUUCUGCCUCGAAGAAAUGGAAAGGCCCCGCCAUCCGGUGGGGCUUUU